rnacentral:rRNA from 1 species
UACGUAGGGUCCGAGCGUUGUCCGGAAUUACUGGGCGUAAAGAGCUCGUAGGUGGUUUGUCGCGUUGUCCGUGAAAACUCACAACUCAAUUGUGGGCGUGCGGGCGAUACGGGCAGACUGGAGUACUGCAGGGGAGACUGGAAUUCCUGGUGUAGCGGUGGAAUGCGCAGAUAUCAGGAGGAACACCGGUGGCGAAGGCGGGUCUCUGGGCCGAUACUGACGCUGAGGAGCGAAAGCGUGGGGAGCGAACAGG